CAUGCAAGUCGACGAAGGCAGCAAUGCUUAGUGGCGCAAGGGUGAGGAACACGUGAGUGACCUACCCGCAAGUUUGGAACAGCUCUGGAAACGGGAAUUAAUACCGGAUGUGAUCGAUGAACUGCAUGGUUUAUUGAUUAAAGCAGCAAUGCGCUUGCGGAUGGGCUCGCGUCCCAUUAGCUAGUUGGUGAGGUAACGGCCCACCAAGGCCAUGAUGGGUAGGCUGGUCUGAGAGGACGACCAGCCACACUGGGACUGAGAACUGCCCAGACUCCUACGGGAGGCUGCAGUCGAGAAUUUUGGGCAAUGGACGAAAGUCUGAACCCCCAGCAAUGCCGCGUGCGGGAUGAAGGUCUUCGGAUUGUAAACCGCUGUUUGGAGGGACGAAAAUUGACGGUACUUCCAGAGGAAGCCACGGCUAACUACGUGCCAGCAGCAGC
rnacentral:rRNA from 1 species